GGAAGGGUGGCAGAGCGGUUGAACGCGGCGGUCUUGAAAACCGUUGUGGAUGAAAGUCCACCGGGGGUUCGAAUCCCUCCCCUUCCGCCA
rnacentral:tRNA from 1 species